rnacentral:rRNA from 1 species
UACGUAGGGGGCAAGCGUUGUCCGGAAUCAUUGGGCGUAAAGAGCGUGUAGGCGGCCAGAAAAGUCCGCUGUGAAAACUCGAGGCUCAACUUCGAGCUGUCGGUGGAAACUUUCUGGCUAGAGUCCGGAAGAGGAGAAUGGAAUUCCUGGUGUAGCGGUGAAAUGCGCAGAUAUCAGGAGGAACACCGGUGGCGAAGGCGGGACUCUGGGCCGAUACUGGCGCUGAGGAGCGAAAGCGUGGGGAGCAAACAGG